UACGUAGGGUGCAAGCGUUAUCCGGAUUCAUUGGGUUUAAAGGGAGCGUAGGCGGACUGGUAAGUCAGUGGUGAAAUCUCUCAGCUUAACUGAGAAACUGCCAUUGAUACUGCCGGUCUUGAGUACAGAUGAUGUGGGCGGAAUAUGACAUGUAGUGGUGAAAUACUUAGAUAUGUCAUAGAACACCGAUUGCGAAGGCAGCUCACAAAACUGUAACUGACGCUGAGGCUCGAAAGUGCGGGGAUCAAACAGG
rnacentral:rRNA from 1 species